rnacentral:rRNA from 1 species
UACGUAGGGGGCAAGCGUUGUCCGGAAUCAUUGGGCGUAAAGCGCGCGCAGGCGGCGGUAUAAGCAUGGCGUGAAAGCCCCAGGCUCAACCUGGGAGGGUCGUCGUGGACUGUACCGCUUGAGGGCGAUAGGGGCUGGUGGAAUGCCUGGUGUAGUGGUGAAAUGCGUAGAGAUCAGGCGGAACACCCGUGGCGAAGGCGGUCAGCUGGGUCGUCCCUGACGCUGAGGCGCGAAGGCGUGGGGAGCGAACGGG